CAUUCUUUUUUGGUUUAACCAAAACGUGCAUAUGUAUAUAUAUAAAGCGUAUGCAUCUCCUUCUUUUCCCUACCCUAGCCGCACCAUCUCUUUUAAUGACGAUCAAAGGAAGAAGCCACUAUCAUCACUCGUUUGUUGCUGCAGCCAUCGUCUUUCACUACUAGAGGCACCACGCUCACCGGAGGUGAAGUCCCUACCAUCACCUUCUUUAUUCUAUCCCAUGAUGUGGAGAAGAGUUGAAUCCAAACCGGAGCCGUCGCGUUCAUUUCCGUUCAUCACCACCACAUCGCCUUCAAUCAAGUCAUUACCGGAGAUCAGCCUCAUCAUUGAUGGUGUCACGUACCAGAUCCGGGGAAUGGAGAACAUGAACAUAACCGGAGCCACCACCUACCUAACGUUAUCUCAUGCGUGAUGUUUAAGUGCCUUUCUUUUUAUUACUUGAGCAACAAGUAAUCAUUUUCAUAAUUCCUAGAUCUAAUCAGCUUAUUUUCUUUUGUAUUUAUUCGUCCUUCUCGGGAUGCUGAUGUGAGAUAUUCAUGACUCCAUUAUGUCAUCUUGCUCCAUGUUGUGGUUAUGGCUCGUAUCUCGGGUUGUGUUCUUUGGUUAAGCUUGUACCAGUUUCUGUUCAACUCUAAACCAGUGGCUAAGGUGAGCUUGACGAGUAGUCGGAUAUCUGGACGGAUGGUGUCUUGGGAUUGUCGUAUUUUAUUUCGAUUUUCAACUCGACUUAUUUGACAUAUUUUUAUAAUUGAUUUUAAAGAUAUAUUUCUUGUGGAUAUAUUUUAUUAAAUAUUUUUAAUAUUUUUCGGUUUUAAAUAAUUCGGUAUAAUUGUAUUUUAUUUUUUAUUUGAUUUAUUUUAAAUAUUUUUAUAAUUAAAUUUAAAGAUGUAUUUUUCAGAUUUAUUUUUAUUAAAUGUGUUCGAUAAUUUAUUCGGCUUUGAAUAACUCGGUUUAAUUUGGUAUUUUUCUGGUAACUAACACGCCGGUCUCGAGAGAGGAGGAGACGGGUGUUACAAUUGGUAUCAGAGCGGGGUUCCGUCCCGGCUCUGACCUGGGACGGCGAUUUAUGGGACUCGGAUUUCAGUGAUUUUUUCAAUGUUUUGGGAUUGGGAGUUUUGAAAAAAAAAAAUUUGACACCUUCCUCUCGAGUAUCAUCCGGUUAUUGGUUAGCGUUUCUGAUUUUGUUUUCUUUUGCAGAAGAAGAUCAAGUUUAUGUUCGCUUUCUUUGUUCUCGUCUUGUGUCCUUCUUUCUUUUGUAUCCGUUGAAGUUCUUUUCGGGUUCUGUUUUAGAAUUCGGGACGAAUUCCAAUUAAGUGGGGAAUAAUUGUAACGACCCGGUUUUCUUAACCGGGAUUGGUUGCAUUUUUCUCUUUAAUUAAUUUGGACCAAACCAAUUUCAUUCUUUUUUGGUUUAACCAAAACGUGCAUAUGUAUAUAUAUAAAGCGUAUGCAUCUCCUUCUUUUCCCUACCCUAGCCGCACCAUCUCUUUUAAUGACGAUCAAAGGAAGAAGCCACUAUCAUCACUCGUUUGUUGCUGCAGCCAUCGUCUUUCACUACCAGAGGCACCACGCUCACCGGAGGUGAAGUCCCUACCAUCACCUUCUUUAUUCUAUCCCAUGAUGUGGAGAAGAGUUGAAUCCAAACCGGAGCCGUCGCGUUCAUUUCCGUUCAUCACCACCACAUCGCCUUCAAUCAAGUCAUUACCGGAGAUCAGCCUCAUCAUUGAUGGUGUCACGUACCAGAUCCGGGGAAUGGAGAACAUGAACAUAACCGGAGCCACCACCUACCUAACGUUAUCUCAUGCGUGAUGUUUAAGUGCCUUUCUUUUUAUUACUUGAGCAACAAGUAAUCAUUUUCAUAAUUCCUAGAUCUAAUCAGCUUAUUUUCUUUUGUAUUUAUUCGUCCUUCUCGGGAUGCUGAUGUGAGAUAUUCAUGACUCCAUUAUGUCAUCUUGCUCCAUGUUGUGGUUAUGGCUCGUAUCUCGGGUUGUGUUCUUUGGUUAAGCUUGUACCAGUUUCUGUUCAACUCUAAACCAGUGGCUAAGGUGAGCUUGACGAGUAGUCGGAUAUCUGGACGGAUGGUGUCUUGGGAUUGUCGUAUUUUAUUUCGAUUUUCAACUCGACUUAUUUGACAUAUUUUUAUAAUUGAUUUUAAAGAUAUAUUUCUUGUGGAUAUAUUUUAUUAAAUAUUUUUAA